UACAGAGGGUGCGAGCGUUGUCCGGAAUUACUGGGCGUAAAGGGCGCGUAGGCGGCUUGGUAAGUCGGGGGGUGAAAGUCAGCGGCUCAACCGCUGGACUGCCUUCGAGACUGCCUGGCUUGAGCAUGGUAGAGGCUGGCGGAAUUCCCCGGUGUAGCGGUGGAAUGCGUAGAGAUCGGGAAGAACAUCGGUGGCGAAGGCGGCCAGCUGGGCCAUUGCUGACGCUCAUGUGCGAAAGCGUGGGGAGCAA
rnacentral:rRNA from 1 species